GGAGCCGUGCGAAAGCAGAGCCAGCGAGGAGAUUACACUCCGAGUUCUGUUUUGUGGCGGAGAAGAGGACAGCAGACGUCACCGGCUUGAUUCUGAUCUGGUUUAUAUUAAGAUCUCUGGGUGUGUGCCAGUUCUCAAACAGCAGUAAAACACCUGCCCAAGCAACAAGAAGUGGUAUGAGCCCCUAGCUGGUGCUGCGUCGUCGAGUUCUGGACAGACACGCCAAAUCUGAGACCAUGAAUUGAAGACUCUCCUCAAAGAAACUCCUCCAAACUAUCUGCACUACUGCUCAUUGGCUUUGUUGUGGUCGUACGUGACUGAGCCCACAUCCUGCCCUGCUGUUAUAU
rnacentral:lncRNA from 1 species